rnacentral:rRNA from 1 species
GACGAAGGUGGCGAGCGUUGUUCGGAAUCACUGGGCUUAAAGAGCACGUAGGCGGCCCUUCAAGUGUCUUGUGAAAUCCCUCGGCUCAACCGAGGAAUUGCUGGGCAUACUGUCGGGCUUGAGGCAGGUAUGGGCGGGUGGAACUCUUGGUGGAGCGGUGGAAUGCGUAGAUAUCAAGAGGAACGCCGGUGGUGAAGACGAUCCGCUAGGCCUGUCCUGACGCUGAGGUGCGAAAGCCAGGGGAGCAAACGGG